rnacentral:lncRNA from 1 species
AAAGAAGUUUAUUGCAAAGCGAAAGUGUGCACCACUAGCUGGGUCAGAGCGGGCUGCUCUGGAAUAAGACAGUGAGACUGGCACUGGGAAGUUCCUUUGAUGGGAGUCUCACAUGAUUAUUCCUGAAGGAGCAGGAACUAAGCAUGUUGUGGGUGGGUUCCUGGGCCUACAGAGGCCGUCACUGUACAUGCUGGCACAUACAUUGCCUGUCUCAUUAGCAUUUUAAAUCUCUGCCCAGGCAUGUGUUUUUCACUAUUACAGUGAGCAAAGUUCAACAUAAGGACAUGGUUCUUGGCUCGGCCUUUGGGACUUUUCCUCCAACAGUCACUCCUCCUUCAGCAAGGAAGUUGCCCACUGCGGGUGACCACAGAUGUCUGUCCCAGCCACUUUCUGGAGCGUCCGUUACUGACCGGGGCCCCUGUGCUAACCUGUUGGCCCCAUUUGGCUUGCUCUUAGCCGCCUGCAGGUAAUCUUGCCUGUUGCCUCGGUAACUGCCUGCUUAAGAACUGCCCAGAAAUGGGGGACAAGGAGGCCAGGGAGUACAGCACCCUUGGGAAGCAAAGAGCAAAGCAAGGUCAGCGAGUGGGUCCAAGGGCAAAAGCAAGUGGCCCGCAUGUCUGUGCAUCUUUGAGGUUCCUGGAAGGCUGAGUGCGGAGCUUCCUGAGGCAAAACUCCUGUGGACCCACCAGGAAGCUGGUCUUGAAAGAUGCUGCACCAGACGACUCGUCCACUCACUAGAGACUCACUUUGCCGGAGAAGGGCUCGGGCGUCGUUGGAAGAACCCAAAGCCAGGCAUGAAAGGACCUCAGCCAGGGAGGGCACCGCAUUCACACAAAUGCUGCGUGUUCCCAUGGAAACAGCACAAAACCUGACCGAGGAAAUGAAUGCUGAAUUGGACUGAUUCCCCGUGAAUAAAGGGGAGAAACGCAAAGCAAUGUAAACAAAGCCAAAAGCAGGAGCAACGCCAGGGCAAACGGAGGCAGAGUCCUCGCGUAUCUGUGAUCAGCACCGGCCCAUCCUGGGUGCAAGAGAGCCCGCUGCCAACUCGCCCCCGUCACAGCAGCUGCCUCAGCCUCCCCAGCCAGCUGUCCCUAGCCCUGGACCUCACCACCCCUGCCAGCCCGUGCCAUCCUCAGUUUCGGGGCUCACUGCGGCUGCCGCUGGGCUUGAGGGAAGGGCAGUGGUGGGCGGGAGAGGCGGGAGGCCCUUCUAUGGUGCCCGUGGAGUUGUUUCCUGUGUGGGGUGCAGGCUGCCCAGCUGUGUUCACUGUGAAAAUCUACCCGGACACACAUUCACAACUGGUAAAUUGAACUUCAAUAAAAAGGUAAAAUGUAG